rnacentral:lncRNA from 1 species
CAGGUCUCAUUGUCACAAAUCUCUCCCAUGCUUGCCAUUGUGUGCUGCUUCAGCAGGGCAUUGGUGGGCCAGUCUGGUUUGCUAAAUAUCUGCUACCUUCCAGUUUCAGCAAGGUCUCCAGCCCUGGGAGCUCCCACCUCCAGGGACAUCAUCAGGUUGCAACCAAGAGCCAGGAGAUCGUGGUGCUACCCCGCUCAAAAGCCUGGCUGCAGCGGCCUCUGGGCAGCCAGGAUGGCUCAGUCGAUGAGGCUGUGGCAUCAGCAGAGGAUGCUCCUAGGGCCGGGCACAGGCAGCAGCAGUGGUCACCCAGGGGGUCCCCCGGGAUAUGGGACAACAGCUGCCAUGAAGACGACUACGGGUUCGUGGCCAACAAGAGGAGGUCCUACUCCUUCACCUCAGCCACCUACCAGAAGAUUGCCCCAGUGGCUGUGCCCAAGGAGUCUCUGGAAGCCGGGAGCAGCUACUCAGUCACACUCUACAUUGGCGAGCAAGCACCGGCCGUGCCCCGGGCACGCUGCCACUCCUUUGUGGCCCAGCCGGGGAGCCCACGGGACACACUGGGAGAGAAGACCCCUGGCCCCCCUCGUCCCAAGAACAAAUCUGUCUUCAAGAAGUUCUUCGGAAAGAAGGAGUGAGCCCCAGCCAAGUGGAAGAAAAGCCCUAGCCUGUCCUUUAUUCUCCUCUUGGGUGCCAUCCUGGCAUGGUCUCUACACCCAGCACCAGCUCACCGCUCGCUGCCUCCCUGGGGGGUGAGAGGCUGCAGCAAGGGCUCUGCUCCAGCUGGCCCUGGGGCUGCACCGCACCCCAGCCGCUGCAGCCCCCGGCCUCAGCCUGGCGCUGAGCACCCCUCCUGCUGCCCUCCAGGUGCUGUCCCUGGGUGCUGCUGGCUCCCUAGGUGUCCUGCCGACAUGCAGCACAAGCAGGGGUGGGGUGGAAUGGUUGUUUUUAUUAAAAAACAGUAAGAUGC